rnacentral:rRNA from 1 species
CAAUAGCGUAUAUUAAAGUUGUUGCGGUUAAAAAGCUCGUAGUUGGAUUUCUGCUGAGAACGACCGGUCCGCCCUUUGGGUGUGUAUCUGGCUCUUUCUUGGCAUCUUCUUGGUGAACGUUGCUGCACUUGACUGUGUGGAGCGCUACCCAGGACUUUUACUUUGAGGAAAUUAGAGUGUUUCAAGCAGGCAUACGCCUUGAAUACAUUAGCAUGGAAUAAUAAGAUAGGACCUCGGUUCUAUUUUGUUGGUUUCUAGAGCUGAGGUAAUGAUUAAUAGGGAUAGUUGGGGGCAUUCGUAUUUAACUGUCAGAGGUGAAAUUCUUGGAUUUGUUAUAGACGGACUACUGCGAAAGCAUUUGCCAAGGAUGUUUUCAUUGA